CAACAUCAGUCUCUCCUCCACAAACUCUCUCCGUCCCCCCAGUGCUUGUGAUUGUUCUGGGAGUUGUGCUCUUACUGCUCUUAGUGCCACUGCUUAUACUGAUUCAGCAGAACAGAGUGAUGAGGAGAGCUCUCUCUAAGAGGAGACACAAGAUGAAGACUGAGGCCGUUUAUGAAGAGCUUCAGCAGAGACCCACUAAUAGACAUAGUCUCCUCACUCAGAGGGGAAGUGUCCUUUCUAAAGAACAGCAUUCUGGGUAUGAAGAUGUUGAUAAACUUAUAUCAG